AGCAUAACCUCUCAUUGUGACAAGCAUCUUCGCCGAUCAAUUGGAACAACGUUUAAACACGAGAGAUCUACCGUGAAGAUCUUCGAUUUUUUAUAUGCUUCUUUUUUAUUUCUUUUGAAGAUUCCUAUGAGAAAACUUAACAAGGCUCAUUCAUCUUUCGUUACGUGUCGAGUAAAGGUACCGAUCGUGUAACUUCUAUCAUCAAGGAAUGUACGUCUCCUACGCACGUUGGAAAGGAGAAGAGAAGAAGAAAAGGAAAAGAAGCAAAAAUAAAUAAAUAAAUAAAUAAAUAAAUAAAUAAGAAAAGAAAAAAGGAAAAGAAA